rnacentral:rRNA from 1 species
ACGAACGCUGGCGGCGUGCCUAAUACCUGCAAGUCGAGCGAGCGGAACUAACAGAUUUACUUCGGUAAUGACGUUAGGAACGCGAGCGGCGGAUGGGUGAGUAACACGUGGGGAACCUGCCCCAUAGUCUGGGAUACCACUUGGAAACAGGUGCUAAUACCGGAUAAGAAAGCAGAUCGCAUGAUCAGCUUUUAAAAGGCGGCGUAAGCUGUCGCUAUGGGAUGGCCCCGCGGUGCAUUAGCUAGUUGGUAAGGUAAAGGCUUACCAAGGCGAUGAUGCAUAGCCGAGUUGAGAGACUGAUCGGCCACAUUGGGACUGAGACACGGCCCAAACUCCUACGGGAGGCAGCAGUAGGGAAUCUUCCACAAUGGACGCAAGUCUGAUGGAGCAACGCCGCGUGAGUGAAGAAGGUUUUCGGAUCGUAAAGCUCUGUUGUUGGUGAAGAAGGAUAGAGGUAGUAACUGGCCUUUAUUUGACGGUAAUCAACCAGAAAGUCACGGCUAACUACGUG